rnacentral:rRNA from 1 species
GGGAAUAACCAUCGGAAACGAUGGCUAAUACCGAAUAAUGCAGCGGCACCUAAUGGUGACAGUUUUCCAUAGAGGGGGAUCGCAAGACCUCGCGUCUAAAGAGGAGCCUGCGGCGGAUUAGCUAGUUGGUAGGGUAACGGCUUACCAAGGCGAUGAUCCGUAGCCGGCCUGAGAGGGCGGUCGGCCACACUGACACUGACAUACGGGUCAGACUCCUACGGGAGGCAGCAGUCGGGAAUUUUGGGCAAUGGGCGAAAGCCUGACCCAGCAACGCCGCGUGAAGGAUGAAAUC